rnacentral:rRNA from 1 species
UAGGGAAUCUUCCGCAAUGGACGAAAGUCUGACGGAGCAACGCCGCGUGAGUGAUGAAGGUUUUCGGAUCGUAAAACUCUGUUGUUAGGGAAGAACAAGUAUCGGAGUAACUGCCGGUACCUUGACGGUACCUAACCAGAAAGCCACGGCUAACUACGUGCCAGCAGCCGCGGUAAUACGUAGGUGGCAAGCGUUGUCCGGAAUUAUUGGGCGUAAAGCGCGCGCAGGUGGUUCCUUAAGUCUGAUGUGAAAGCCCACGGCUCAACCGUGGAGGGUCAUUGGAAACUGGGGAACUGGAGUGCAGAAGAGGAAAGUGGAAUUCCAAGUGUAGCGGUGAAAUGCGUAGAGAUUUGGAGGAACACCAGGGGCGAAGGCGACUUUCUGGUCUGUAACUGACACUGAGGCGCGAAAGCGUGGGGAGCGAACAGG